UACGUAGGGGCUAGCGUUAUCCGGAAUUACUGGGCGUAAAGGGUGCGUAGGCGGUCUUUCAAGCCAGAAGUGAAAGGCUACGGCUCAACCGUAGUAAGCUUUUGGAACUGUAAGACUUGAGUGCAGGAGAGGAGAGUGGAAUUCCUAGUGUAGCGGUGAAAUGCGUAGAUAUUACACAGAACACCAAUUGCGAAGGCAGCUUUCUGGCCCAUUACUGACGCUGAGGCACGAAAGCGUGGGGAUCGAACAGGAUUAGAUACCCCGGUAGUCCCUGA
rnacentral:rRNA from 1 species